AACGAACGCUGGCGGCAUGCCUAACACAUGCAAGUCGAACGAGACCUUCGGGUCUAGUGGCGCACGGGUGCGUAACGCGUGGGAACCUGCCCUUAGGUUCGGAAUAACUCCCCGAAAGGGGUGCUAAUACCGGAUAAUGUCUUCGGACCAAAGAUUUAUUGCCUUUGGAUGGGCCCGCGUUGGAUUAGCUCGUUGGUAGGGUAAAAGCCUACUAAGGCGACGAUCCAUAGCUGGUCAGAGAGGAUGAUCAGCCACACUGGGACUAAGACACGGCCCAGACUCCUACGGAAGGGAGCAGUGGGGAAUAUUGGACGAUGGGCGAAAGCCUGAUCCAGCAAUGCCGCGUGAGUGAUGAAGGCCUUGGGGUUGUAAAGCUCUUUUACCCGGGAUGAUAAUGACGGUACCGGGAGAAUAAGCUCCGGCUAACUCCGUG
rnacentral:rRNA from 1 species